CCAACAUGACUUUGAACGCUAUGAGCAACAUUAUAGCAACAUGAGAAGGAGCUCACAGAUGAGUGAAUCAACACUUGAAAAGGGGGACUUACUCCCUUAUUAAUCUAAAACCAAUGUGGAUACAGAGAAGACAAAGAGUAAGACAGCAUCCAGCAGCACUGUCUGUAGAGACAUUCACUUCCCCUUCUUACCCAGAGACAGCGGAGAAAGGAGAGUCUCAAAGACAAGGUAUCUACAGACUCCAAAUGGCCUGAAACAUGCCCCUAAACAUGUCCUGGAGGAAGGGUUUUGGCCCUGACACUUGUUGAAUUUUCAGCAGAUUCCGGCUGGUUUCCAACACUUAUAAUUCCGGAAGGGUUGGGGUUAGGAGGACAACAAGGACAUGGUUGCCUUCAGCACAAUGGGUGUCAACAAGCAUGUCCAGUUCAUGAAGUGGAAAUGUAAGUGUUGUGCAUUCACCACCAAUGGGCAAGGAAGAAUAACUCAGCAUUACAAAGAGCGUCACGGACAUCACCGGAGGAGCUCAGGCCUUGUCUGUACUGUAGGCCUUGAGGACUGUUUGAGCACAUUUCAAACUCAAGCUGAAUUUAAAAAUCAUUUGAAAGAACAUGUGAAAGAAGGUAAAAGAAUUGUGACUAAGUUAUGCUGUGAUUUGGGUACAUUCUCAGAGCCUAGUGACAUUA